rnacentral:rRNA from 1 species
GGUAGCGCCCGAAGUCCGCUUAGCUAACCGUAAGGAGGCGGCGGCCGACGGUAGGGUCAGCGACUGGGGUGAAGUCGUAACAAGGUAGCCGUAGGUGAACCUGCAGAAGGAUCA